GAAAAUAUGGAAGCUUUCAGAACCAGAUGACGCGCCUGGUGGCAUCGAUCGAUUAAUAGAAUUGGCACUAGCUCCUAAUAAAUGCAUCUUUUCAUUUUGCGAGUUCUUUUUGAAGGAUGUCGAUGGAUGGAAGGUAUAUGGAUUGGGCAUGUAAUCUUUCUUCUCCAACUUGUAAGUUUCUUUGUUUGCUUUUGAUGGUGUAGAAUCAAACGUGAUUGAAAAUGAACUGGGGUCUUAGCAUUAUUUCUGUUCUCCUCGUAUGCAUGCUAGAUGUCAGCAGUUACUGUUAGCUGAUAGCUGAUAGUAACUGAUUGAUGUUAAGUAUUUGGUAAAAUUAU
rnacentral:misc_RNA from 1 species